AACACGAAAGAGUUUUGGUGGGGGUGGUUGGCGUACCCCUUACAUGCACAUGAAGGCACAACGGGCGGUCCAGAGUCCGAGCAAUGAAUGCUUUGGGUUAGAAAGGACAUUGAAAGUAGAAAUAGAGGAAGAUGGAGAGAUAGAGA
ensembl:ncRNA F35D2.9 ncRNA